AGGUGUAAGGGCAAUCUGGCUUUAAAAUCCAUUACCCCACUGAUUACCAGGUUGAUUCAACUGAUGUGGCUGGCUAGGUGGAUGUCCCUACCCUUCUUCAGUGCUCCAUGUGCAUACCCCCUAAGUGCCACACUUGCCUACAGAGGAUGACUCCCCAGUAGAGCCUCCAAACAAGCUCUUAAGACCUG
rnacentral:snRNA from 1 species